rnacentral:rRNA from 1 species
CCUACGGGUGGCAGCAGUGGGGAAUAUUGCACAAUGGGGGAAACCCUGAUGCAGCAACGCCGCGUGAGUGAAGAAGUAUUUCGGUAUGUAAAGCUCUAUCAGCCGGGAAGAAGAUGACGGUACCUGAAUAAGAAGCCCCGGCUAACUACGUACCAGCAGCCGCGGCAAUACGUCGGGAGCCAGCGUUAUCCGGAUUUACUGGGUGUAAAGGGGGCGCAGACGGCAGGGCAAGUCUGGAGUGAAAGCCCGGGGCCCAACCCCGGAACUGCUCUGGAAACUGGGCGGCUAGAGUACUGGAGGGGCAGGCGGAAUGCCUAGUGUAGCGGUGAAAUGCGUAGAUAUUAGGAGGAACACCAGUGGCGAAGGCGGCCUGCUGGACAGUAACUGACGCUGAGGCUCGAAAGCGUGGGGAGCAAACAGGAUUAGAUACCCGUGUAGUC